UGCAGCUGCCCUGUGGCCUUGAAGUAGGGGCAGCCCUUCUCCAGUGUACAAGUCGGGGUCGGGGGACCCUCCUUGGACUUCUGGCUCCCUUUGAGUGACUGGGACCCUCUCUUGGCCUUUCCCAGUCUCACCUGUGGCUUUCAGGCUUCCCCUUCUCUUGACUUCUUCCCUAUAAACGUGCCUGCGUAGUCGCGGAGCAGUGAAAGAUCAUGAUUUGGAGUCAAGGUUCCAGCCACCUAUCCACUGCACAACAGCCCCCAGCCCCCGGCUACCGAAACCGCUCUGGCAAAGGCCAGCAUGAUUUCCUCUCCAGCCCACUGUGGCACAUGGGCUGCCGGCCAUCUUCCUGACGCCUCUUUUUCCCUGCCUUUGAGGCACAUCUCCUGGCUGUCCUCCCAUCUCUGUGAGGGCAACUCUGCCACGUGGCCUCCAUGGCUGGCUCCUCUUCUGCUGAUCCUUAAGCCCAGGACUUGUCUACUCCUGGCCCAUGGCCCCUCACUCCUGAUGAGUGUGCCUGGGCAGCCCUGUUCCCACCUGUGACUUCCACACCCUGCAGAUACUGUCGACUCUCAACACUGUCUCUGGCCCAGAUCUUUCUCCUAAACUCCAGACCCACUCACCUCUCACUGGACCCUCCGGCUUGCUCCUCCUCACCCUACUCUCACUCAGUUGCCCAGGCCAGAACACAGGAAGCAUCUGGUGCUUCCCCUUCCCCCAGCCCAUAGCAAAUAGGUUCCUUGUACCAGGUUCCUGGUAGCUCUUUCUCAUAUUUGACACCUCUUUCCAUCCCCACUUGCCACUGGCCCAGUGCAGCCCUUAUCACCUCUCCAGGAUGACUGCAUUAACCUCCUUCCUGGGCUCUCAGACUAUGUUGUGCCCUUCCACACCACUCUCCUCUCCACUCACUGUCAGAGAGAUCCUUCCAAAAUGCAAAGCUCAUCAAGUUACUCCUCUGCUCUAAAGCUUUCAAUGGCUCCCCAUUGCCUCAGAAUCAGGUCUGAAUACCCAUGUUUAACAUGCAAGGAAGGCUCCCCUUCCACUGCCCACCCUGCACCCUUUACUCCAAACAGGCCAGACAUAUUUCCCCAGAACGAGCCCUUUGCUGUGGAGUUUGGAUGCCUCUCCUUUUUGUCUCUCAAGACUUUGCUCAAGUGCUGUUCUUCUGCGAAGCCUGCCCUCAUUUCCCUCUCCAGCAGAAUCAGGGCAAGCUUCUUAGAGAAGCAGGGCUUGAGCAAAGCCAGGGGCUGGUUGUGGCCUCUGCCUCCUCAAUGCCUCCACUGUUCCAGCACAGACAUCCAUCCCUGGCUGGCAUAGAGGGGUCAUUCAAUAAAUGCUCAAGGGAUGACUGGGCAUGGCUGUGGGGGCGGCGUGGGCACUGUUCCUCCCUGGCACGGGGGGUUCCCUGGCUGGGGGCUGUCCCAGGGUAGCUCAAGGGCACUUGUCUGCUUCCCUCACUUCAGGCAGGGCGAGUAGAGGGCUUGGUGGACAGGCACUUUCAUCUGACCUAGCCUCAGUUUCUGCCCUUGUUAAAUGGGCGCCACGUGGCAGCAAUGCUUACCUGUUGAGAGCUGCUGAUGAGGCCACUGAAAGGAUUGUGAACACUGCCAUGUGUAUUGCACCCUAAGCAGUUGCUUAACCUCAAGAUCCUCAUUUAUGCAGUGGGGAUGAUGCUAAUAAUUCCCUCCUCCCUGUGUGUAGUUAGGAGUAAAUGUGCUGAUACCUAGGAGAGGGCCUCCAAGUCAGAAAAUGUGAAUGAUUAGGAUUGUAACUUCCCUGCCCCCUGCCGUUAGACAGCUGUGGGGACGGGGCUGCAUGGCGGCUCCAAGACAGGCACCUCAGCACCUGCCCUGGGCCUUGGAGCCUGAAAGUGCUAAGUGCAGUGGCAGCCCUUGUCCCCAGCUAGCUCGGGGCUGAGUCUCCUGACCUCUGCCCAGCCUGGGACAAGGUCCUUCACCUCCUGAGGCCAGGUAGCCAUUGACCAGGGCUUGCUCCAGGCCUGGCUUCCUGUCCUAGCCAGCACGUGCCCGAACCCAGCCAGCACUGGGCUCUAGUGCCAAGCUUUAAGCUCAUUCAUGCUCAAAAACCUUUUGCCGAGGUUCCUUAUCUGGCUGCCUAGGGCUGCCUGUCAAUGCAGCUCUGACUGAAGUCCUAUUAGAGAUUGGGGAAAGUAAGGGGGGCGAAGGGGAGGGGAAGGAGGAAGGUACCGGGAGAGAAAAGGAGGGAGAACACAAACUGAUGGGGAGGGAAUUCAAGAUGGCUUCCCGUGCCUCAUCUCAGUGAUCCCCACAAAACCUGGAAAGGUAGGGAGGUCUGAUGUCCUCAUCCACACAUGACGGAGACACAUGAGGCCAAGAGGAGCGGAGAGACCUGGUCCUCCCAGAUGUCCUUCCUCCUGUCCACCCAUCUCAACAGCCAGCCCCUCUGUCCGCUCUCCACCUCUCCUCCCGGUCCUCUUCCAUCUCUCCCCAUAUCACCUUGUCCACCUCCCAGCUGGUGAGAACUGGCAGGCCCUGGGGAGAGGAAGAGAGGGAGGAAGGGGAAGGGAGCCUCCCACAGGAGAAUCCAGACUCUCCCUGGGUUCCAUCUUUAGGUGCAGCAGAGGUGACGGGGACUGUGUGUGCUUGCGUUGGACAGCACACAGGUGUGCCUCUGAGAACCCGUGGAGCCAGGCUCAUAGGUCUGGGCCCGCGGUGGGGCCGGCGGUGGCCCUGUGAGCGAAUGCUGGAGGAGGGCUGAUGUGGCUCUGCACAUUCGAAUGAACGUGCGGAGGAAAGGAGACGCACACACCCGGAACAUGCAGCCCUCGGGCACGACUGAGGUCAGUGUGUGGCCGCGAGCCCCGGACUGUGUGGGGUCAGUGUGUGUGCGCGCGUGUGCACGGGACUUUGUGAGCCCGCAGACCUGCCGCUCCUGCAAGAUCCGACACGCAGACACAGCGACCCCUGCUGGCCACACCGCCCCAACCACGGCGCUUGUCAGCCCCAAGCCCUAGCUGGAAGCCUGCCCAAGGGCCAGGCGAGGCAACCUGCAGGAAGCUCAGGGCCGGUAGCCCCCUCUGACUUAGUGCCUUGCCUGCCCCCGCGGGUUUGUCUCCCAAGGGUCCACUGUCCACCCUGCCGUGGCCCCCAUUGGGCUGGAGGAAGAGCCCAUCCUCCUGGUCAUGGCUGUGUCUGUACCUGAGUCUCCUGGAGACUGAGCGGAGAAGGGCUCCCCUCUCUUCUGCGCCCCACCCGGAUAGCGGGGCGGGGAUGCAUUGGGAUAGGCUGCCUCAAGGUGGCCCCAGGGGACUCAAGCAUGAGGGACUCCCUGUGUCCUCCACUCCACCCCCAUCUGGCUAGAGCCCAGACCCAGGACUUGUGGACGACGAGGCGCCACGCUGUGGAUUCGGUGGACGACGUCGCCCUCUGCUGGCCAGAGCUGGCACUUGCAGCCCGGCUCCCCCAGCCCGGGGCAGAGCACUUGUCCUGGGGUCCCCUGGUACCCUGUGGAGAUCGUGGUGGAGGAUGUGGGAUGACAAAGAGGAGAGGCAAUGGGCCAGAGUGUCUCAAGGCACUCUGAGGAGAGACAGAGGUGGAACAGGACAGACCCACGGACCCUGAGAGGAGACAGACAUGCAGACUUCCAGACCUUCAGGGAGAAAGACUUCCUCCCACCUCGGGGACGAAUAUACUGACACACCACUCCCAGGGACAGAGACAUGGACCACAGACACCUAGACCCUCAAAGAAGGCAAACAGAUUCCCAGAGGGACAGGCUCCCUCCAACCACACCGGAAAGAGAAGCAAAUAAACCUUCAGAGGGGACACGUGG
rnacentral:lncRNA from 1 species